rnacentral:rRNA from 1 species
GGUCAGACUUUGAUCAUGGCUCAGGAUGAACGCUAGCUACAGGCUUAACACAUGCAAGUCGAGGGGAAACGACAUCGAAAGCUUGCUUUUGAUGGGCGUCGACCGGCGCACGGGUGAGUAACGCGUAUCCAACCUGCCCACCACUUGGGGAUAACCUUGCGAAAGUAAGACUAAUACCCAAUGACGUCUCUAGAAGACAUCUGAAGGAGAUUAAAGAUUUAUCGGUGAUGGAUGGGGAUGCGUCUGAUUAGCUUGUUGGCGGGGUAACGGCCCACCAAGGCAACGAUCAGUAGGGGUUCUGAGAGGAAGGUCCCCCACAUUGGAACUGAGACACGGUCCAAACUCCUACGGGAGGCAGCAGUGAGGAAUAUUGGUCAAUGGGCGAGAGCCUGAACCAGCCAAGUAGCGUGCAGGAUGACGGCCCUAUGGGUUGUAAACUGCUUUUAUAAGGGAAUAAAGUGAGUCUCGUGAGACUUUUUGCAUGUACCUUAUGAAUAAGGACCGGCUAAUUCCGUGCCAGCAGCCGCGGUAAUACGGAAGGUCCGGGCGUUAUCCGGAUUUAUUGGGUUUAAAGGGAGCGUAGGCCGGAGAUUAAGCGUGUUGUGAAAUGUAGAUGCUUAACAUCUGAACUGCAGCGCGAACUGGUUUCCUUGAGUACGCACAAAGUGGGCGGAAUUCGUGGUGUAGCGGUGAAAUGCUUAGAUAUCACGAAGAGCUCCGAUUGCGAAGGCAGCUCACUGGAGCGCAACUGACGCUGAAGCUCGAAAGUGCGGGUAUCGAACAGGAUUAGAUACCCUGGUAGUCCGCACGGUAAACGAUGGAUGCCCGCUGUUGGUCUGAAUAGGUCAGCGGCCAAGCGAAAGCAUUAAGCAUCCCACCUGGGGAGUACGCCGGCAACGGUGCAACUCAAAGGAAUUGACGG